rnacentral:rRNA from 1 species
UGCUGGGCUUUAACUGACGCUGAGGCUCGAAAGUGUGGGGAGCAAACAGGAUUAGAUACCCUGGUAGUCCACACUGUAAACGAUGAUUACUAGGUGUGGGGAGUCUGACCCCUUCCGUGCCGCAGUUAACGCAAUAAGUAAUCCACCUGGGGAGUACGACCGCAAGGUUGAAACUCAAAGGAAUUGACGGGGGCCCGCACAAGCAGUGGAUUAUGUGGUUUAAUUCGAAGCAACGCGAAGAACCUUACCAGGUCUUGACAUCGAGUGACCGGCUAAGAGAUUAGCCUUUCCUUCGGGACACAAAGACAGGUGGUGCAUGGUUGUCGUCAGCUCGUGUCGUGAGAUGUUGGGUUAAGUCCCGCAACGAGCGCAACCCCUGCCAUUAGUUGCUACGCAAGAGCACUCUAAUGGGACCGCUACCGACAAGGUGGAGGAAGGUGGGGACGACGUCAAAUCAUCAUGCCCCUUAUGACCUGGGCUACACACGUAAUACAAUGGCCGUUAACAGAGGGAAGCAAUACCGCGAGGUGGAGCAAACCCCCAAAAACGGUCUCAGUUCGGAUUGCAGGCUGCAACUCGCCUGUAUGAAGUUGGAAUGCUA